rnacentral:rRNA from 1 species
GAUAAACGCUGGCGGCGUGCCUAAUACAUGCAAGUCGAGCGAGCGGACGAGAAGCUUGCUUCUCUGAUGUUAGCGGCGGACGGGUGAGUAACACGUGGAUAACCUACCUAUAAGACUGGGAUAACUUCGGGAAACCGGAGCUAAUACCGGAUAAUAUUUUGAACCGCAUGGUUCAAAAGUGAAAGACGGUCUUGCUGUCACUUAUAGAUGGAUCCGCGCUGCAUUAGCUAGUUGGUAAGGUAACGGCUUACCAAGGCAACGAUGCAUAGCCGACCUGAGAGGGUGAUCGGCCACACUGGAACUGAGACACGGUCCAGACUCCUACGGGAGGCAGCAGUAGGGAAUCUUCCGCAAUGGGCGAAAGCCUGACGGAGCAACGCCGCGUGAGUGAUGAAGGUCUUCGGAUCGUAAAACUCUGUUAUUAGGGAAGAACAUAUGUGUAAGUAACUGUGCACAUCUUGACGGUACCUAAUCAGAAAGCCACGGCUAACUACGUGCCAGCAGCCGCGGUAAUACGUAGGUGGCAAGCGUUAUCCGGAAUUAUUGGGCGUAAAGCGCGCGUAGGCGGUUUUUUAAGUCUGAUGUGAAAGCCCACGGCUCAACCGUGGAGGGUCAUUGGAAACUGGAAAACUUGAGUGCAGAAGAGGAAAGUGGAAUUCCAUGUGUAGCGGUGAAAUGCGCAGAGAUAUGGAGGAACACCAGUGGCGAAGGCGACUUUCUGGUCUGUAACUGACGCUGAUGUGCGAAAGCGUGGGGAUCAAACAGGAUUAGAUACCCUGGUAGUCCACGCCGUAAACGAUGAGUGCUAAGUGUUAGGGGGUUUCCGCCCCUUAGUGCUGCAGCUAACGCAUUAAGCACUCCGCCUGGGGAGUACGACCGCAAGGUUGAAACUCAAAGGAAUUGACGGGGACCCGCACAAGCGGUGGAGCAUGUGGUUUAAUUCGAAGCAACGCGAAGAACCUUACCAAAUCUUGACAUCCUUUGACAACUCUAGAGAUAGAGCCUUCCCCUUCGGGGGACAAAGUGACAGGUGGUGCAUGGUUGUCGUCAGCUCGUGUCGUGAGAUGUUGGGUUAAGUCCCGCAACGAGCGCAACCCUUAAGCUUAGUUGCCAUCAUUAAGUUGGGCACUCUAAGUUGACUGCCGGUGACAAACCGGAGGAAGGUGGGGAUGACGUCAAAUCAUCAUGCCCCUUAUGAUUUGGGCUACACACGUGCUACAAUGGACAAUACAAAGGGCAGCGAAACCGCGAGGUCAAGCAAAUCCCAUAAAGUUGUUCUCAGUUCGGAUUGUAGUCUGCAACUCGACUACAUGAAGCUGGAAUCGCUAGUAAUCGUAGAUCAGCAUGCUACGGUGAAUACGUUCCCGGGUCU